rnacentral:tRNA from 1 species
UGUGUUGUGGUGUACAAGCACGAAAGUUUUUGGUACUUUAAGAGUUUGGGAGCAUUCAAACCAGCACAU